rnacentral:rRNA from 1 species
GAUGAACGCUGGCGGCGUGCCUAAUACAUGCAAGUCGAGCGAACGGACGAGAAGCUUGCUUCUCUGACGUUAGCGGCGGACGGGUGUGUAACAUGUGGAUAACCUACUUAUAUGACUGGGAUAACUUCGGGACACCGGCGCUAACACCGGAUAAUAUUCUGAACCGUAUGGUUCAAAAGUGAAAGACGGCCUUGCUGUCACUACUAGAUGGUUCCGCGCUGCAUUAGCUAGUUGGUAAGGUAACGGCCUAUCAAGGCAACGAUGCGUAGCCGACCUGAGAGGGUGAUCGGCCACACUGGAACUGGGACACGGUCCUGACUCCUACGGGAGGCAGCAGUAGGGAAUCUUCCGCAAUGGGCGAGAACCUGACACAGCGGCGCCGCGUGAGUGAUGAAGGUCUUCGGAUCGUAAAGCUCUGUUAUUGGUGAAGAACAUAUGUGUAAGUAGCUGUGCACAUCUUGACGGUACCUAGUCAGAAAGCCACGGCUAACUACGUG